GUAAUAUUUGCCAAAACCUUAUAUUCUCUUUAAUGAUUACGCGUGAUGAGAAAGACGACGCUUUAUCACUACAAUCGAUAAACUCUAAUGGAAGAAAUAUCUAUCUCAUCUCUAUCAAUCCUUUUGGUUUCUCCGUAGCACGUUUCCAUUUUCUCACAAUCUCUUCGAGUUCUCACCUCCUUGAUAUUUCUGCAACCGACGUUCGACGGGUCCUCUAAUCGGUCGGAAAAGGAAGAUGAUAGGUUCAUAUAUAUUUGACCCCAACACACAGAUGGAUUCAAUUUUUUCUCGCCAUGGUUCAUCUCCAAAUGGUGAUUUCGGUUCUGAAUUCUACAUCAGGAACUUCUCCGACCAUUUGCUUCGCAUCGAAAUCAUAGGUGGACCGUCAGAUUCUAAGUCUGAUGGUAAAGGUUGAACGAGAAUUCUCAUUCGCUAGACAUGACUCUCUCUCACCGACUCCGUAUCCCAGAUCCGUAAUAAUCUCGCCUACAUCAAGAUCGAAAGGGUCUAUAACGGGAGGGUCCAAAGGCUUGUGAAGUUCCAGUUUCCAGCAAAGAUCUCUAUAAAUACUGCAGAGAGGGCCAGACCAGUUUCAGCGAAGGUAUGUGUUUAUUUACUUAUCUAUGUGGCCGGAUACGUGUUAUAGUGACCGGUUAAGAUAAACAUUAUACGGCCAAGCAAUAUUAAUAAGUUCAUGUACGUUCUGUUUCAUGUCUAUUAUUGUACUGGUGGCAUUUUAGUUUUCAGCAAAGAUCUUACAGAUACUUCGAAGAGGACCAGGCCGAAAUUUAUAUCAAUAACAAGUUUUAGUUUAGCCGUUUUUAUCUAAAGAUAUUCGUCUCAGGUGCUAUCGGUUGUAAAGCAUAAAUUUGCAAUUAAUUAACUAUGCUUACAGUGUUAUAUCCGGCUAAAAAUCUUUUUAAUCA